GAGGCACCAGCCCUACAAUACUUGGGCUUCUCCAUCUCUGAAGAGGAGAGAAGACUGAAAGAAGGAUUGUGACCUCAUUUAAGCUCAAAGUUUUCUCGCACUUCCUGUCGAAUCUGAAGAGCUUCAAGAGUCAGCAGGGCCAGUAGGAACAACACAGUCCUGCCCUACAAACACGAACCAGACCUCUGGGCUUCCCCAACUGCAACCCCCAUUCCUGAG